GGUUGACCUCGGAUCAGGUAGGGAUACCCGCUGAACUUAAGCAUAUCAAUAAGCGGAGGAAAAGAAACCAACAGGGAUUGCCUUAGUAACGGCGAGUGAAGCGGCAACAGCUCAAAUUUGAAAGCUGGCUCUUUCAGGGUCCGCGUUGUAAUUUGUAGAGGAUGAUUCGGCGAGGGCUCCCGCCUAAGUCCCCUGGAACGGGGCGUCAUAGAGGGUGAGAAUCCCGUAUGCGGUGGGCUGCCUUAGCCAUGUGAAUCUCCUUCGACGAGUCGAGUUGUUUGGGAAUGCAGCUCUAAAUGGGAGGUAAAUUUCUUCUAAAGCUAAAUACCGGCCAGAGACCGAUAGCGCACAAGUAGAGUGAUCGAAAGAUGAAAAGCACUUUGGAAAGAGAGUUAAAAAGUACGUGAAAUUGUUGAAAGGGAAGCGCUUGCAACCAGACUUGUCCGCAGUUGCUCAGCCGGUCUCCUGACCGGCGUACUCUUCUGCGGCCAGGCCAGCAUCAGUUCGGGCGGUCGGAUAAAGACCUCGGGAAUGUGGCUCCUCUCGGGGAGUGUUAUAGCCCGGGGUGGAAUGCGGCCAGCCUGGACUGAGGAUCUCGCUUCGGCAAGGAUGCUGGCGUAAUGGUUGUAAGCGGCCCGUCUUGAAACACGGACCAAGGAGUCUAACAUCUAUGCGAGUGUUUGGGUGUCAAACCCAUACGCGUAAUGAAAGUGAACGGAGGUGGGAACCCUCACGGGUGCACCAUCGGCCGAUCCUGAUGUCUUCGGAUGGAUUUGAGCAAGAGCAUAGCUGUUGGGACCCGAAAGAUGGUGAACUAUGCCUGAAUAGGGUGAAGCCAGAGGAAACUCUGGUGGAGGCUCGCAGCGGUUCUGACGUGCAAAUCGAUCGUCAAAUUUGGGUAUAGGGGCGAAAGACUAAUCGAACCAUCUAGUAGCUGGU
rnacentral:rRNA from 1 species